GGCUGGUCCGAUGGUAGUGGGUUAUCAGAACUUAUUAACAUUAGUGUCACUAUUUGGUAUACAACCCCCCACUGCUAAAUUUGACUGGCUUAAA
rnacentral:Y_RNA from 1 species